AUGUCCCGAAAUGGCGAAGAGCACACAAUUGCAGAUGUACAUUUCCCAGACAUGGAGUCACACGCACCUGACAAGACAGAGUGUGUGCACGAGCACAGCUCAACCGUGCAGCCACAAGCGACUGAAGGCAUCAUAGUGGACAACCCCGCUUCCUCAGAAGAGCCACCAUUAGGCCAAAGAGUCCGCAGAAUGACGGAAAAGGGUCAAGAACAGCAUGAUGAGCAAGUAAUAAAGGUUGCACAUCGGUUCAGUGUGUGCUAUGAGAAGUGGAAGGAUGCCACUAAAGAAGCCAACCAAGCGCUGAGUGGAAAGUGCUCAGACGACCUGCUAGAUGGACAAAUUACUAAAGUACGCAAUACCUCUAGGAGUCUAAAUGACGUUUAUGACGAUUGGAAACGCCUUGAGGUUCCUGACCUUAACACACGUCGCAAAAUCGACACCUGUGAAACAGUAACAAAGAAGAUGGUUAAGGAUGCAAUGGACCUUAUAGAUGCAAGGGAGGAAGCUACAGCCCAUAGGCAUACUACAAGUCAAAGACAUGAAGAACAUCGAGUCAUUGAAGAGGUAAUGUCUGUAGCCUCAGGAAGGACAGGCACUAGCUCUCGCCACACUAAGUGCUCCUCUGCAAGCAGGAAGAGUGCAGCUGCUGAGGUUGCUGCCAACAAAGCCACCUUAGAAGUACAGCUGGAGCAAGAGCAUUAUAUUAAAGAGCUUCAGAGACUGGAAGUUGAAGCCGCUCAGCUAAAAGCCAAACAAGAGGCUGAAAAUGCAGAUAGACAAAGAGUGCUAGAAGCCAAGCGCAGAGAACUAGAUCGAUUGGAGACUAUUAAGAAGCUAAAGGCUGCCGAGGCACGACAGCAAGUAUAUGACCAGAGUAUACAUUCAUGUCCGGCAACUAAGGGCGACGGCUCAGAUGAAGAAAUAAAUGUUCUUCUCCAUCGUGUCUCUGUGAAGAAAGAAGAAGUCAAGCCUCAAACUAGCCCACUGCGGCACCAUUCUACACCACCAGCUGUAGCACAAGCAAGGCAAGAAAACAAAUAUGAAGAUGGCACAACAGCUCUCGUCAAAGCGCUCGCAGAAGCCAUCAGUGCGAGUCGCAUUCCUCUACCUGAACCUACAGUGUUCAGUGGUGACCCACUCCGAUUCAACGACUGGAAAGUGUCCUUUCAGACGCUCGUUGACAGGAAGAACAUACCAGCUGAAGAGAAGAUAUAUUAUCUACGCAAGUAUGUGGGUGGAUCUGCUAAAAGGGCCAUAGAGAGCUACUUUUUACUUGGCACAGAGCCAGCAUAUUAUGCAGCAUGGGACAUCCUAGAAGAGCGAUACGGCAAUCCAUUCCUCAUCGCCAAGGCCUUCAGAGAGAAGCUCGACGCGUGGCCCAAGAUAAGCUCCAAAGGCAGCAUGGAACUUCAAGAACUCGCCGACUUCCUGCGCUGCUGUGAGGCAGCCAUGUCUCAGAUCAGAGGUCUUGAAAUACUUAAUGAUUGCAACGAGAACCAGAAAAUUCUCUCUAAACUCCCAGACUGGGUGACUUCAAGGUGGAAUAGGAAAGUCAUAGAAGCAGAAGAAGACACUCACAUGUUCCCGAGCUUCAGCCAGUUUGUCAAGUUUCUCACACGUGAAGCUAAAAUCGCUUGCAGCCCAAUAACAUCUCUUCAUGCUCUUAAGCCAAGUGAAAGGAUUCCAGACAAGUGUGUAAAGAGCGGAGGUCCUGGAGCAAAGGUGUUAGCAACCACCUCAGAUGAGAAAGCCGUCGUCACAAGCUGUGUCUUUUGUGAGAAGGCAGGACACAGUCUACAAAGGUGUUACAAGUUUAUGCAAGGGACAAUCUUGGAGCGAAUCAAGUUUGUUCAAGAAAAUAAAUUGUGUUUUGGCUGUCUCAAAUUUGGCCACCGAUCUAGAGAUUGUAGAGAAAGAGACAGCUGCGACACCUGUGAGAGAAGACACCCAACUUGUCUUCAUGACGAUCGCACCAAGGAAGAAAGGAUGUCUACAAGAUCUGACAGAGCAAGGUACAGUGACAAAGACAAAGAAGAGUACAAAGAAAGGAAGAAUGAACAGUCACAAGACCAGUCAGAGAGACCAUCACGUGAGGCGACGGCACUUAGAGUCAUCCAGAAUGUUGGAGACACGCAUACCUCCACAAUAAUUCCAGUGUGGGUGUCAUCUACAAGUGUACCAAGUCGUGAAGUUCUGGUGUACGCACUCCUUGAUACACAAAGUGACACAACCUUUAUCCUCGACGAGACAGCGAAGGCUCUCAAUGCUAGGAGUGAACCAGUUCAGCUAAACCUCUCCACGUUGGCUUCAAGAAACACAAUCGUGUCCUGUCGGAAGCUAGCUGGUCUACAAGUUAGAGGUUUUUAUUCAGACAAGAUAAUCACUCUUCCAGUGACUUACUCAAGAGAGUUUAUCCCUGCAAACAGAGACCAUAUUCCCACACCAGAUACGGCGAAAGCAUGGCCUCAUCUUGAACACAUUGCAGAUGAGAUCGCUCCUCAGCAAAGCUGUGAUGUCGGCCUGUUAAUUGGCUACAACUGUGCCCAAGCCCUCGUUCCAAGACAAGUGGUGCCUGGUGAGGAACACCAGCCGUUUGCACAAAAGACAGACUUGGGCUGGAGUGUAGUGGGAUAUGGCAACCCGUGUCUCAACUAUGGAGAUGCAAUUGGAAUAAGUCACCAAGUCAUGGUGAAGCAAGUGAUGCCAGGUCUACCGUCCUCUUCAGACCUCACAAAGGAAGUGCACUAUGUCUGUAGGACACAGAUCAAAGAAGUUCUCUUACCUGCAGAUGUCAUCAAGAUGCUGGAGUCUGACUUCGUUGAAAGAGAGUCGGAAACCAGCCCCAUCUCUCAAGAAGAUCUAAGGUUCCUGUCAAAAAUGGAAAAGAGCAUCAAGUUAAAGAGCGACGGUCAUUACGAAAUGCCGCUGCCAUUCAAGAAAGAAAGACCUAACUUACCUGAUAAUAAGAUCUGUGCUAUCCAUCGUCUCAGGUGCCUAGAAAGAAGGCUGAGAAGAAACGACCAGUACUACAAAGACUACAAGACCUUCAUGGAUGAGACCAUAAGACGCGGAGAUGCAGAAAGGGUCCCGGAGGAAGACAUCCACAAAGCUCCAGCUUGGUACAUUCCGCAUCAUGGGGUGUAUCAUCCACAAAAGCCUGGGAAGAUACGCGUUGUCUUCGAUUGCUCCGCCAAGUACCAAGGAACGUCCUUGAACGACCACCUCCUGACGGGUCCUGAGUUGACAAACACCUUGGUGGGAGUUCUGUAUCGCUUCCGAAGAGGUCCUGUGGCAAUCAUGUGUGACAUCGAACGCAUGUUUCACCAGUUCCAUGUUAAGGCAGAAGACCAAGAUUACCUGCGGUUCCUUUGGUGGGACAAUGGAGAUCUCGAAAGCCAACCUUCCAUCUAUCGGAUGAAAGUCCACUUGUUUGGUGCAGCAUCGUCACCUGGCUGUGCCAACUAUGGGCUGAAGCAUGUCGCUGCUGAAGGACAAGGAAACUUUAGUGACGACACCAUAAAGUUCAUUCAACGGAACUUCUACGUGGAUGAUGGAUUGUCAAGUGUAGCAUCCGAAGACCAAGCGAUCCAACUGGUGAAAGAAGCAAGAGAACUUUGCAGCACAGGCAAACUCCGGCUGCAUAAGUUUAUCUCUAACAGCAAGAAGGUCCUAGACGCAAUCCCAAAAGAAGAAUGUGCUGCAGCUGCCGAAGACAAGGACAUGGCACUGGGUGAACUGCACAUGGAAAGAGCACUCGGUGUGCAGUGGUGCGUGGCUUCUGAUGAGUUCCAGUUCAGAGUAAUCGUCAAGGAGAAUCCACUUACUCGAAGAGGAGUCCUGUCCACAGUCGCUUCAGUCUACGACCCUCUUGGAUUUGUGGCACCGUUCAUCUUGUUGGGAAAGCAGAUCCUGCAGCAGAUGUGUCGUGACAAGCUCAGUUGGGAUGACACCUUACCUGAUGACCUACGACCUCUGUGGGAAAGCUGGCUUCAAGACCUGCGAAAUCUAGCCGAGGUGAAGAUUCCAAGAUGCUACGUUCCAUCAAGCUUCAAGGUCCAACACUACGAACUCCACCAUUUCGCCGAUGCCAGUGAGUCAGGCUAUGGAGAGUGCUCGUACCUCAGAGCAGUGAGUACGUCAAGUGAAGUCCACUGUUCCUUUGUAAUGGGAAAGUCGAGAGUCGCUCCUACUAAGGUCACAACCAUACCAAGACUCGAGCUGUCAGCAGCAGUGGUAGCUGUCCGCACCAGUGACAUGCUCAAGAAAGAACUGGAAAUAGAAUGCCUACAAGAAGUCUUCUGGACUGAUUCAAGAGUGGUCCUUGGUUACAUCAAUAAUGAAGCCAGAAGAUUUCACGUGUUUGUGGCAAAUCGUGUGGAACGCAUCAAGCAAAGCACAGAGUCUACACAAUGGAAGUAUGUGGCUUCAGAAGAUAAUCCAGCAGACUACGCCUCAAGAGGUCUCACAGCAGAGCAACUGGUAUCCUCUAACUGGUUCACAGGCCCAGACUUUCUUUGGCAGAAGGAGUUACCAAGUGGAGAUGUCAAGGUGGGAGAGAUCACAUAUGACGAUCCUGAGCUUAAGAAGGUCCAGGUUCUCGACACCCAGGCGAAAGAAGUCAAGUCGCUGCUAGAUCGCCUACACAAGUUUUCAGACUGGUCCAAAAUGGUGAAAGCUAUCGCCAGACUCCAGCGCCAUGUGAAAGAAAUUAAAGGGCUUCAGCCAAAGUCCUGUGAAGCCUGCAGUUUGGAGGAAAGGAGAGAAGCGGAGUUGACAAUAAUCAAGAUGGUUCAAGAAGCAACCUUCUCACAAGAUAUACAGUUACUCCAAAGUGACAAGGAGACGCCAGUCAAGGGCAAAGCCAAUAAGUUGCACCGGUUAAGUCCAUUCCUGGAUGACCAAGGUGUCCUCAGAGUUGGAGGCCGCUUAACUCAUGCUGCCCUACAUCCACAGGUGAAGCAUCCAGCGGUCCUUCCAAAGGACAGUCAUGUGUCAAAUUUACUUGUCAAGCACUAUCAUGAAAGAGUGUACCAUCAAGGACGAGGAAUGACCAUGAAUGCGCUCCGAUCUAAUGGCAUAUGGAUACUGGGCUGCAGCAAGGCUGUAUCAUCCCAUAUCUACAAGUGCACUAAGUGCAGGAAGUUCAGAAGAUGCACUGAACAGCAGAAAAUGUCAGACCUUCCAGAGGACAGAAUGGAAACAGCUCCUCCAUUCACCUACUGCGGUAUGGACUGUUUUGGACCAUUCUACGUAAAGGAAGGAAGGAAAGAGCUAAAGCGUUAUGGAUUGUUACUUACCUGCAUGUGUUCCAGAGCGGUUCACGUUGAGAUGCUUGACGAUAUGACCACGGAUGCCUUCAUUAACGCAUUGCGUUCAUUCAUCGCCAUUCGUGGAAAGGUACGUCAGAUAAGAAGUGAUCAAGGAACAAACUUCGUCGGAGCAAGACGAGAGUUUGCUGAAGCAUUGAAAGAAAUGGAUCAGGAAGAGCUCAAGCAGCUUGGAUGUGAGUUCAUCAUGAACACCCCAGCUUCAAGUCAUAUGGGUGGCGUCUGGGAAAGACAAAUUCGCACCAUAAGAAGUGUCUUGACGUCCAUUCUAGAACAGUCAGCUACGCAGCUUGACUGCUCCUCUCUAAGAACGUUCCUGUAUGAAGUCAUGGCAAUAGUGAACAGUAGACCUCUGAGCACUGAUUGUCUAAAUGAUUCAUCCAGUCCAGAGCCCCUGACACCAAACCACAUUUUGACCAUGAAGUCCACGAUACUCGCUCCACCUCCUGGGAAGUUCGUCAAGGAAGAUCUAUACCUACGCAAGAGAUGGCGUCGAGUUCAAUUCUUAUCCAACCACUUUUGGACAAGAUGGAAGAAGGAGUACCUCCUGAGCCUCCAACAGAGACAGAAGUGGACCAAAGAUCGCAGGAAUGCAAAGGUCGGCGAUGUUGUACUCCUGCAAGAUGAUACUACAGCACGUAACCAGUGGAGGAUGGCAAAGGUUAUCGAAGUGUACCCAGGAAAGGAUGGGAAGGUGCGAAGACUCAAGUUGCUCAUCAGCGACUCAACCCUUGAUGAGAAAGGAAAGCGUAUCUCCAAACCUGUCCACCUGGAAAGGCCCAUCCAUAAGACGGUGACGCUGAUGGAAGCAGACUGA
rnacentral:lncRNA from 1 species